rnacentral:misc_RNA from 1 species
GUCAUUAAUCGAGCAUACUUCAAUGUUCACGGUCACUGGUUAAACCUAUUAAACUUCAUGUACUCAUAAAGGAGGUUUUGCUCCACAUAAUAACAAGUGAAACUUAUUUAUUAGUCUGAGCUAACAGCGGUGUGAAUACGCCUUUCUGGUUCAAGGCUCAUUAUCUUUCCCUUAUUAUGUGUGAAUGAUAAUUAAUGACUUCUAUUAUGGCUAUCCAUUGGAUCAGAGCAAUAGAAACGGGAUGAAACCGUUGGAGUUAGUCGUCAGACAGGAAGAUGACUUCCGGCGUAGACAAAAGAACCAAACCAACUCAAAUAGAAAAUACUUUCUCGAGCACUAUUUAACAAUGCCUCAGUACAUAUAAAGUUGAAAAUCUGAUCAGUUGAAAUACUUUGAUGGCUGAUACUUUUCACAUUAAAAUAAUUUUAUUAAUGUAACAUUUGUAAUCACUCCAUGUUGUAGUUUUUGUCCUUUUUUGUACUUUUUAACCGACUUCCAAAAAAGGAGGAGGUUCUCAAUUCGACUGUAUUUUUUUUUUUUUUUUUUUUUUUUUAAUGUAUGUUACAUCAGAACUUUUGACCGGGUAGAC